GCCCAGAUGGUGGAAUCGGUAGACACAAGGGAUUUAAAAUCCCUCGGCGUUCGCGCUGUGCGGGUUCAAGUCCCGCUCUGGGCACUA
rnacentral:tRNA from 4 species